GGCUCGUGUCCGCUGCCCCAUCUAGGAUGGUAAAUGCGUCGAUUAAUUCAGUCGCCUCUUUGUCCUUUAUCGCACUUCUCGCUAAAUCGGUGUCGCGGGUCACCAGGACAUCUAUGGUUCGCCCAACGGCGUACAGGCUCGCGCUUGGGUUUGGAAGGAAUGUUUAGGGGAUCAAAAAAGAGAUGGACAACGAUGCCGUAUAAAGAAAGUCCACUCGCUCGUGCACCUUGCCCGAAGCCACCGUUCGGGUCCCAAAAUCCUGCCGGGAUCACAUUGGGCCGCGGUCAAGCCGGCCCGCCCUAAAAUGGGCCGGCCCCGCACAAUGCGGGUUAACGGCCCAUUCUUCCAGUUUUCAUUCAACCCUGAUCCUUGAGGCGGCGUAUUGGGAUGACGAGUUAACACGCAAGAGUCUCCAUAAAACAUUUUAGAGCCAG
rnacentral:lncRNA from 1 species